GUCGGCCAUGUUUGCUAUGUGAGUCUGCACUGUGUGCAGGCGUUUCAGUUUAACUGCAGGGUGGCUCUGCGGUGCCUUAACCGUGGGAAACGGUGCGGGAAGACACGCCAGCCCCUGGCUUCGCGGCCGCGGGCUCGCGUGGUAGCCCAGGAUGAUGGCGUCCUCUACCGCCGCCGCCCUACGGGUGCCGCGCGAGCCGCCGCCGUUGCACGAGCGCAGACGUUGGCUGAGUGGACGCGGGACGGGCCGGGAAGCUCCGAUUCCGGCGCCGCGGCGCGAGAAUCUUCAAGAAGCUUUGGAAGCGUUCUCAGCCACCUUCCACUUUCUCUUAGGUCGGCCACCACGGCCUCCACCGCCCCUCCUCGGCUCCCAUUCUCCUUACAGCUCCAGUCGGCCUCCAGUUACCCUGCUGUAGUUGCGGGAACCCGGAGCACAUCUAGCACGUAGCUGAGCUUUUUAAGUAAAAGGACCUAGGAUCCAACCAACACCCUCACCUUCCUGCCUCAGUUUACAAAUGCCGCCCCAAGGCGUGUUUCGGCACUACAGCCACGCACCUUGUUCCGGCACGGCUUCAACUCCUGUUACUUUAGCUCCCUCACCCCGCCAUCCUUAAAUAAAUCCGUGCACGGUCAGGAGUAUUAAUGGAACGGAGUAUGGCAGCGGAGACCGCUCUGUGCACCUGUGUACUUUAAAAAAAAAUUCUUAUUUUAUGGACAUAGGUGUCUUGCCUGCAUGUAUACCCGUGUGAGGGCAUCAGAUCUUGGAGUUACAGUUGUUGGCUACCGUGUGGGUGUCCUCUGGAAGAGCAGUCAGGGCUCUUAACCACUGAGCCAUCUCUACAGCUCCUACCCAUGUACUAGUAAGAUUCUGAUUUCCCAGGGUUGAGAGACUUGCUCUACCAAGGUUUUCUCAUGUAAGGAGAGGUAGUGCUCAUGCCUGCCCUUCCCUCCACUCCACGCUAUGGAGCGCUUAAGGAGCCUUCCUAGAUUUGCAGAGGCCAUUGGGGGUUGUGUUUUCUAUAUGGGAAGGUUACAAUCAGUAUAUCUUCUAAAUGCCUGACAGGUUUUUAUUUUUUAUUUUUUAUUUUGGUUUUUCGAGACAGGGUUUCUCUGUGUAGCUUUGGAGCCUAUCCUGGCACUCGCUCUGGAGACCAGGCUGGCCUCGAACUCACAGAGAUCGGCCUGCCUCUGCCUCCCGAGUGCUGGGAUUAAACGAGUGCGCCACCAACGCCUGGCCAGGCAGGAAACUCUGAACACGGCAGGUGGAAAUUCAUGAGCCUUCAAUAAAUGUUAGCUGUAAUUAAAGGUCCAUAAACUAAACAUCAAAGCAGUAAGCCGCCAAGAAGACAGCAGAAUCCAUACCACUGAAAAAACAGAAGGCACACCCCAGAGCAUGUUCCACCAACUGGGGACCAAUCACUCAAAUAUACGAGCUUAUGGAGGCCAUUCUCACAUAAACUAUCACAAAAGAAAUACAUAGUUGAAAAAAAGUUGGACAUGAUUCUUUAACUCAAGAAUGAAGAUCAGAAAGUCUUCUCCAAGCUCCACUCCUAAAACAACCAGAGGAUCCUAUCUCUUCCUGUGCCUUUGGCAAGUAUUAAGCACUGUUAAAUUUCUGUGUUUAUGAUAUGCUGUUUAUGUUUGUAAGGACUUCUGUUGUUUAUAUUCCUGUGAUAAACACACCAGGGGUGGGGGGAGGGAAGACUUCACUUCCUAAUUAGAAGUAUUGACCUCUCUGUUGCCCAUGUUACUUUAGACAAAGACUAUCAGUUAUAUAGCUAACUGAACUACCUUCAUGCCUGAACCAGCCAUCUGGAAUACUCCAUGGACACCUUGAGACAACUAGGUAAAAGAUUGCAGUUGACAGCACUUAGGAGGUAGAGGUGGAGGGAACAGGAGUUCAAGGUCAG
rnacentral:lncRNA from 1 species